rnacentral:rRNA from 1 species
UGCCAGCCGCCGCGGUAAUACGGAGGGUGCGAGCGUUGUUCGGAAUCAUUGGGCGUAAAGGGUGUGCAGGCUGGAAAGUGUGUCUGAUGUGAAAGCCCGGGGCUUAACCCCGGAAGUGCAUUGGAAACUGCUUUUCUUGAAUCUCGGAGAGGGUAGUGGAAUUCCUGGUGUAGAGGUGAAAUUCGUAGAUAUCAGGAGGAACACCGGUGGCGAAGGCGACUGCCUGGCCAGAUACUGACGCUGAGGUGCGAAAGCGUGGGGAGCGAACAGGAUUAGAUA